GUCACGCUCGGCAAGACGAGAACGGACCUGCGAGGGCGCUAGCAAUGCAGGAGAGGGCACAAGUCAUGAAGCUGUGGCGCAAGUGUGCAUGGAGCACCUUGAACACAUCAAAGCGAACAAGGGGGUCAUCAAAAAAGAUAACAUUGGUUUCUUCGCUCUACGUACCGAUGCACGCCUCAGGGAGCUACCAAUGCACAUUGCACUAGAUGUAAUGCAUGCAGUAGAAUUCAUGCUGUAUGAAGCAGAGGUGAAAUUGCGUCAGAGCAGUGAAGCAAAUUGAAAUGUUUAUAUAAUGUCAAUGACACCCACCUUUUUAUCUUGUGUUCACAUUUCUAGUCCUAACUUA